rnacentral:rRNA from 1 species
GCUCAGGAUGAACGCUGGCGGCGUGCUUAACACAUGCAAGUCGAACGGGGAACAUUUUUAUGGAAACUUCGGUGGAAAUAGCUUGUUCCUAGUGGCGGACGGGUGAGUAACGCGUGGGUAACCUGCCUCACACUGGGGGAUAACAGUCAGAAAUGACUGCUAAUACCGCAUAAGCGCACGGGGCCGCAUGGCUCAGUGUGAAAAACUCCGGUGGUGUGAGAUGGACCCGCGUUGGAUUAGCCAGUUGGCAGGGUAACGGCCUACCAAAGCGACGAUCCAUAGCCGGCCUGAGAGGGUGGACGGCCACAUUGGGACUGAGACACGGCCCAGACUCCUACGGGAGGCAGCAGUA